AACGAACGCUGGCGGCGUGCCUAACACAUGCAAGUCGAACGAGAAAGGGGCUUCGGCUCCGAGUAAAGUGGCGCACGGGUGAGUAACACGUGGGUAACCUGCCUCUAAGAUUGGGAUAACUCGUCGAAAGAUGAGCUAAUACCGAAUAAGACCACAGUUCCCGCGGGAACAGGGGUCAAAGGUAGCCUCUGCUUGCGAGCUAUCACUUAGAGAUGGGCCUGCGCACCAUUAGCUAGUUGGUAGGGUAACGGCCUACCAAGGCAAAGAUGGUUAGCUGGUCUGAGAGGAUGAUCAGCCACACUGGAACUGAGACACGGUCCAGACUCCUACGGGAGGCAGCAGUGGGGAAUAUUGCGCAAUGGGCGAAAGCUUGACGCAGCAACGCCGCGUGAGUGAUGAAGGCCUUCGGGUCGUAAAGCUCUGUCGGGAGGAACGAAUGCUCCUGAGGUUAACAGCCUCGGGAGGUGACGGUACCUUCAAAGGAAGCACCGGCUAACUCUGUG
rnacentral:rRNA from 1 species